AGAGUUGAAACAUAUAGACAAGCAAAAUUGUUUCAAAAUAAUUGUAAUGUCAUGAUAAAUUGUGGUUCUUUCAAGAAAAACGGAAAACAAGAUUACAAGUGUAAUGGAUACAAGUGGGUAAACAGUUUAGGCUUUUGUUGGUUUUCAAUCCUUUCAUCAACAAUAUUAUGAAAGAAUUCAUUUCAUGUGACGACCAAAAAUUUUAUGUAAUUCUGCAAUUAGGUCAGUGUAAUUGAUCUUUCUUGGUUACAUUUUUGUUGAAAUGAAAUUCAAGCUGUUCAGACAAGGUCAACAAAUGGACAUAAACAUCAAAUUUUUAAUGACAACAGUACACUUGAGAAGAAACUUGACGAUUCGGAAGCUGAUACAAGAAAAAGCAUCAAGCAGCAGGAAAUUGGAAAUUCGUCUAUUUUUGAAUUAUCUUCAAAGUGAAGUAAACACAAAACAAUAAUAAUCGACACACAAUUACAGCAAUGGCAAUGAAAACAAAAUCAAAAUUAUUAAAAUCAGAAACUUACUUGUUUGAAAUCAGAAACAAAAGAUGGCGAUAGCAAACGAUUUUAAAAAACUGUCAGCUGAGCAAUAUUAACGGUUUUAGACGAAAAUAAUCCUUACAUUAUAAUUUAAUCAGAAUUUUAUCAUUAAUCAUUAAAUACUUUAUUUAGAUUUCAUCUUAACCAAUUCUAUUUUCGCUAAAUACUCUGACUUACGACUUACACUUGUAUAUGGCCUUUCGUUCGAAGUCUACAUUUUUCAACUUCCUGGGCAACUUUUCUCUGAUUGAUGCAUCAUUACUUUGAAAGUAAACUUUCUUACAAGAGUCUAGAUGGUUGAAUUGGAUGGUUAAAUUGUAUCCAAUUAAGUAUGUGUCAUCAACUACAUCAAUAAGCAAUUCUCAAUAAUCCUUUAAUGGUUAAAUGGUGCUUCAAAGUAUUAACUAUGGAAACGUGGAUAGUGCAUUUAAUGCAUACAAAACACAACAAAUCAACCGUAACUACAUUUCCACCUUGAAAUGGUUAGACUGAAUCUACAUUGAAUGAUAAGAUGAUGGUUUAAUAACACUUGAUAGUUUUCCUCUGUUCCUAACCAAACAUUGUAAUGGUCAAAGUAAACCAGGAUAAGACCGAGAUGAAAAAUUGGUUAUCGAUUAAUCCUCUGAAUCUUUCUUUGGACAAGAAAAUGUUUCUUUUUUUACUUUCUUUCCUCUCUUUCCACAAGUUAAUUUGAUGCAAGAAAUGGAAAUGAUCGUUAGCUGUCUAAUAAUAUGUAAAUCUUAAUCGAAUUGCGUCUCAAGCAAUGCAACCAAGAAAAGAGGAAAAUGUGGAUAAAAUUAUGAAUUUAAAAUGAAUCAAGAUGUAAACUCGACUGGUAAUCUGGCCAUUCCAUGGAAAUAGCAACUAUCAAUCCAAUGAGAAAAGUGGACUCUAUCAAUGUUCAACAUUUGAGUCUUGAACUCAACUAACCCAUUCGAUGACUUAUUAAAUCAUUAACUCGAUCCGCCCCAACUUAAUUUGCUUUCCCUUUCAUAAUUGGCUUUGUGGCUUAGUUGGUUAAAGCGCCUGUCUUGUAAACAGGAGAUCCUGGGUUCGACUCCCAGCAAAGCCUUUUUGACCAUUGGCGAUGUUAAUUAUUUUACCAUUCAAUUGUUAAUUGAACCCUUUAAUAAUCACUGGACAACAUCAA